rnacentral:rRNA from 1 species
GAUCCUGGCUCAGGAUGAACGCUAGCUACAGGCUUAACACAUGCAAGUCGAGGGGCAGCAUGGUCUUAGCUUGCUAAGGCCGAUGGCGACCGGCGCACGGGUGAGUAACGCGUAUCCAACCUGCCUUACACUCUUGGACAGCCUUCUGAAAGGGAGAUUAAUACAAGAUGCUAUCAUGAGUAAGCAUUUUCACAUGAUUAAAGGUUUACCGGUGUAAGAUGGGGAUGUCG